CUGAGGCUGAUUAAACUGAGUUUCUUUACUCUUGGGAGUUCAGUGUGCAAUGGUUACAAACAGCAACCUCCUUGGUAGUGUAUGCAGCCCAUUUUUUGUAUAGGUUCCCCUAAGGAACCUUGGAGACAGUG